AACGAACGCUGGCGGCAUGCCUAACACAUGCAAGUCGAACGAGACCUUCGGGUCUAGUGGCGCACGGGUGCGUAACGCGUGGGAACCUGCCCUUAGGUUCGGAAUAACUCCCCGAAAGGGGUGCUAAUACCGGAUAAUGUCUUCGGACCAAAGAUUUAUCGCCUUUGGAUGGGCCCGCGUUGGAUUAGCUAGUUGGUAGGGUAAAAGCCUACCAAGGCGACGAUCCAUAGCUGGUCUGAGAGGAGGAUCAGGCACACUGGGACUGAGACACGGCCCAGACUCCUACGGGAGGCAGCAGUGGGGAAUAUUGGACAAUGGGCGAAAGCCUGAUCCAGCAAUGCCGCGUGAGUGAUGAAGGCCUUAGGGUUGUAAAGCUCUUUUACCCGGGAUGAUAAUGACAGUACCGGGAGAAUAAGCUCCGGCUAACUCCGUG
rnacentral:rRNA from 1 species